CUGAAGUUACUACACAUUUUGCUAGCCUCGUCGGGCACCGACUUCUCAAUAGAAUAAAUUAUCAGUUGGGCUAAAAGAUUGAAGGGUUUGGUAUAGAUGAAAGGUGCAAAUCUACCUUUGUUACUCAGUGCAAGACAAUAGUAAUCUUCAUUAAAAAAAAUAAUUUAAAUGAGUGUUUUUUAGAACAAAAUCUAAAAAACCCUCUCCCGCCCCAAAACCCUACCCCCCACUGCAAUGAAACUCCCAUCGCCGCCACUCUUUCCCGCAUCCUUUAAACCCCUCUCUCUCCCUGAAACCUCCAUCGCGGCUCCGAAACCCCUUUCCCUGUCAAUUGUGAAAGGAGAACGCGACUCCCAGUGACUCAAGCUCGAUUGAAGUUCGAAUAUGAGAAUUCAAAUCAAAGGGAACGCUGAUGUUGUCAAGGAGAAGAUGUCGACAAAGCUAGAGAGUUUGCCGGGAAGUGUUAAUUUGAGUGGUAUUGCAAGUGCUCUUUCAUUUGCAAAUGAGAUGUGCAUUAAAUGAGGAAGUUCAGUAUGUGUUGAUGGAGAUGAGGGUUCUUCUUGUGCUGUAGGACAUGUCACAAUAUUAGAUUCAGAUGGGGUUGUCAUUGAGGUUUCGGUUAUGUUGCCUAAUUCAAUUAUGAGCAAUGUUGUGUCAAAGUCUUCUUUUCGGAGGCUAGCAAAGAAAAUCUAAUGUCAAUUGCUUAAUCAUCUUGGUCUCAAUCGUAACAUGGAGAAGAAAAAUGGGAUUCAAGUAUCAAAGAGGCGGUGUAGCGAAAGGGUAUCCCAAUGGUUAAUUUGAUGUCAUUGAUUCAAAAUCGUCUUGAGUUCACGAGUUCUUUUGUUGUUUUGUUUGAUGUUGUCUUAGUUUGCUGUUUUUCAGUCGGCAAACUUGGAUGUUUCUCGCCUCUUUGAUGUGGUGGUUGUAUUAUUUCUUGAUCGUUCUAGGGGUGAUAUUGUUGAGGGGUUUUUGUUGUGCCUGAAGCGUUUUAGUUUCGUGUUUUUGUAUUUGUCUUUCAAGGUGUUGUAGUCUUGGAACUUCAAUCAGUCAAUGUAUGCCUUUAACUCUAUUAUGAGUUCUAAUAAAAUGAACUAAAUUAUAAAAAAA